rnacentral:rRNA from 1 species
UACGGAGGGAGCUAGCGUUGUUCGGAAUUACUGGGCGUAAAGCGCGCGUAGGCGGCUAUUCAAGUCAGAGGUGAAAGCCCGGGGCUCAACUCCGGAACUGCCUUUAAGACUGCAUCGCUUGAAUCCGGGAGAGGUGAGUGGAAUUCCGAGUGUAGAGGUGAAAUUCGUAGAUAUUCGGAAGAACACCAGUGGCGAAGGCGGCUCACUGGACCGGUAUUGACGCUGAGGUGCGAAAGCGUGGGGAGCAAACAGG